rnacentral:rRNA from 1 species
GUAAGGAAUAUUGGUCAAUGGACGAAAGUCUGAACCAGCCAUGCCGCGUGAAGGAUGAAGGCCCUCUGGGUUGUAAACUUCUUUUAUCUGGGACGAAAAAAGGGUAUUCUUACUCACUUGACGGUACCAGAGGAAUAAGCACCGGCUAACUCCGUGCCAGCAGCCGCGGUAAUACGGAGGGUGCAAGCGUUAUCCGGAUUCACUGGGUUUAAAGGGUGCGUAGGUGGGUAUUUAAGUCAGUGGUGAAAUCUCCGAGCUUAACUCGGAAACUGCCAUUGAUACUAUUUACCUUGAAUGCCCUGGAGGUAAGCGGAAUAUGUCAUGUAGCGGUGAAAUGCUUAGAUAUGACAUAGAACACCAAUUGCGAAGGCAGCUUACUACGGGGUGAUUGACACUGAGGCACGAAAGCGUGGGGAGCAAACAGGAUUAGAUACCCUUGUAGUCC